rnacentral:rRNA from 1 species
UGGGGAAUAUUGCACAAUGGGGGGAAACCCUGAUGCAGCGACGCCGCGUGAAGGAAGAAGUAUUUCGGUAUGUAAACUUCUAUCAGCAGGGAAGAAAAUGACGGUACCUGACUAAGAAGCCCCGGCUAACUACGUGCCAGCAGCCGCGGUAAUACGUAGGGGGCAAGCGUUAUCCGGAUUUACUGGGUGUAAAGGGAGCGUAGACGGCAUGGCAAGUCUGAUGUGAAAGGCAGGGGCUCAACCCUUGAACUGCAUUGGAAACUGUUAAGCUAGAGUGCAGGAGAGGUAAGCGGAAUUCCUAGUGUAGCGGUGAAAUGCGUAGAUAUUAGGAGGAACACCAGUGGCGAAGGCGGCUUACUGGACUGUAACUGACGUUGAGGCUCGAAAGCGUGGGGAGCAAACAGGAUUAGAUACCCUGGUAGU